CGGGAAACCAGAGCCGGGAGAGUCCGGUUUCCCAGCGUAGGCAGGAUGGGCGCAGAGGCGGCGUGAGGAGGAGGGGGGCACUGAGGCUCGGGGACUCCGGAGUCCCGCCCUCCCCAACCGGCGCGGACCUACAUGCAGAAGGGCCAAACUGGCCCAGAAGCAGCAAGUCUUUCUGGUCACCCUAGAUCCCCCAGUCGCUCAGGCUCAAGGACUAGGGACUCUGGCUUCUUAGCCCACAGCCUGUGACACCCCCGUGGGAUCCAAUCAGAGCUCAUCCGGGCUUCACCCAAUGCUGGAUUCACACAAAAAUGGUUGGGGUCAAUGGACAACUGAAACAAGCCACCAAGGCUGUGUGCCUAUCCUGUGCCUGCUUGGUGGCCAGAAUGGAUCUGUGGAGCGCACGGAUGAAUCUGCCAAAUGGAUUGGCAGUUCUCGUCAAAGGCUUCUAACUAGUGAAGAGAUCUGGGGUUGGUUUGAAUCUGCCCGGCCAUUUCUUCAGCCUCAGGCCUCCCAGCAUGUCAGCUCGAGAGACUGGGAUCCUGAGAGAGGCCAAGGGGUUUAACUCCUGGGCUUCUAGAAGCAGCAAGGGGCCCACAGA